CUCUCUCUCUCUCUCUCACAAUUAGAAAAAAAACUACAACAUUUAGAGGUUUAUACUGUUUCAAAUGGGCUAUAGCAUGCAAAUUUAGUCAACUCAACAUAGAUACUAACUUCAUUGAUGUUUCCUACCCUUGGAUAAAUUUGCAAUCAGCUAUGAAGUCUGAUAAAAUUAGAAUAAUUUAUUUAAAAAUUCACACAACAUUGAGAGACAAAGUUUCAUAUCAUCAAGAACGUUGAGAUUUCAAAUGACAAAAUGGAUAAUCGCUACUUAUACAAUGUUGAAUGCAUGUGUUCUCAUCAAUAUAAUUGAGGGUUUAUUUAGCGUUAUUGUUCGAACUACUAUUAAGAAAAGUGUUUUCUUAAAUAUGUUAGUUUAAAAAUUAUUUUUGUAUUAA
rnacentral:misc_RNA from 1 species